AGGACCACGUUCUCCCCGGGAGGGUGAAAUGUUUGAAAGAGAGAGCGGGACAGUCUUCCUCUGGCCGGGACCACCUCUCGUCCGCAGAGCUCCUGGCUGAUCUGCCAUCAUGAGAGUCCUUUACCUUCUCUUUGCUGUUUCCAUCUUGAUGCUCCAGCUUGCUGCAGGAUUCCCCAAGAUUGGCUAUUUUCACUGCCAGAGCCGCAAAGGGCAAUGCUUCCAGCACACGUGUCCCCCAAACACCAAGUACAUUGGAAGUUGUAACCAACUGGGUAAUUGCUGUCAAAGGAUUUGAAGUGGCAGAUGAUCUGGCCAGGAUCUGGGGGGACUUGGGAGAGCUACCUCACCUGUAAGAUCACUGGUUCCUGUAUCAAACCAAAUGUGAAGCACUGUUUCUUUGGGCUGCAAAGAACUUCACAGUCUGGAGAAACUCCAAAAGGAGGCCCCUGUAUCCACUCAUGAUGCACAUCUC